CGUCGAUUGUUUCUUAAGGUCGAACUUUUCUUCCUUUCCCAUCCUUUUCAAUUUCUUAGGAUUUUUUCUUAGGAAUAGCUUCGUUUGGGAGAGAAUCCGAAGAUGAGAAUAUUAUGGGAGACCAGCAUUCUCAAACUCUGAUUGUUCGGAGGAAGAUCGAGGAUGUUCCUUGAGAUGCUCCUGAGGAUGUUGCUUCUUCUCGAUAGAA
rnacentral:lncRNA from 1 species